AAGUCGUAACAAGGUUUCCGUAGGUGAACCUGCGGAAGGAUCAUUACUGAGUUAGGGUCUUCCAGGCCCGAUCUCCAACCCUUUGUAUAACUACCAUGUUGCUUUGGCGGGCCCGUCUUUAACCGGACCGCCGGAAGUUUUUAACCCCUGGCCAGUGCUCGUCAAUAGCCCUUAAUAAACUCUUUUAACCAUGUUAAUUCUGAAAAUAUCUAAAUAAACUAAAACUUUCAACAACGGAUCUCUUGGUUCUG
rnacentral:misc_RNA from 1 species